rnacentral:rRNA from 1 species
GGACCCGCACAAGCGGUGGAGCGUGUUCUUUAAUUCGAGGCUAAACGAAGAACCUUACCAGGGUUUGACAUCCCUAUAGCCGAUCUCCGAAAGGAGAUCUUCAAUUCGGUUGGAUAGGUGACAGGUGAUGCAUGGCCGUCGUCAGCUCGUGUCGUGAGAUGUUUGGUUAAGUCCAUCAACGAGCGCAACCCUUACUGUUAGUUGUAUUUUUCUAGCAGGACUGCCCUUGUAAGAGGGAGGAAGGAGGGGAUGAUGUCAGGUCAGUAUUUCCCUUACACCCUGGGCUAGAAACGCGCUACAAUGGCCGGUACAACGGGCAGCUAAAGCGUAAGCUGGAGCUAAUCCCAUCAAAACCGGUCCCAGUUCGGAUUGAGGGCUGAAACUCGCCCUCAUGAAGCCGGAAUCGCUAGUAAUCGCAGGUCAGCACACUG